CAAUGUUGUGACAGGUCACUGUUGCCAGGUGAUCCACACAAUGUUGUGACAGGUCACUGUUGCCAGGUGAUCCACACAAUGUUGUGACAGGUCACUGUUGCCAGUGAGGUUUGGGGCCCCUUUCUUAUCUUUUUUAUGCAUCUUUUUUGUAUUGAAAGAAAGGUGUGUAUUGUGUACCAAAUAAUGAUGCUGUAUAGAGCUGUGUUUCGGGACUUAUUGCUGCGUUACUUCCUCCUCUAUGUUGUUACCAUCCUUGUAUCCAGGUAGCAGAGACAAACAGAAACAUGGUGCCUCUACUAGCAGUAGGAGUGGUUUGUUGUUGUUUGUAUGUUGUUUACAGAACACUGUCUAUAAGUUUCUUCAUCUAACCAGAAAAUGGUUUAGUUGUCUAUGUUCAGCUGAUCGAACCUUGGGGGCAAACUGUUGGAGUCUUUCAGUGAGGUAGUUAAUGUACUAGUAUAGAUAAAUACUGGCGGCUACCAUGCAAAAACACUGGAAAUUAAAUGUAGUUAAGGGACAGUACAUUGUCAUGCAUGAAAUAAUUUCCAAGUGUCAUGGCACUUUAUUUCCGCACAACAAAGCAGACAACACAAGUGAAUGAAUUACACAAAAUACUUACUGCCAUCUUGAUUUGAUUAGAGAUCAGUGUUUAUCAAAGCCCAGAUUACAAAAUAAUAUUACCUCCUCUUGUGGAAUAAGGUGGUGAGCACAGCCAAGUUAGCUGGGGGGCUUUUAGGUAUUGUUUACAUUCAAUGUUUACUCAACAUACUGACUGUCCAUUUGAGCAGACAUUGUUACGACAUGAGUUCUUCAGUCUUCUCAUGUAAGGGCUGGCAAUCAGCAUAAA